AGUGAACGCUGGCGGUAGGCCUAACACAUGCAAGUCGAACGGCAGCACAGUAAGAGCUUGCUCUUACGGGUGGCGAGUGGCGGACGGGUGAGGAAUACAUCGGAAUCUACUUUUUCGUGGGGGAUAACGUAGGGAAACUUACGCUAAUACCGCAUACGACCUACGUGUGAAAGCAGGGGAUCUUCGGACCUUGCGCGAUUGAAUGAGCCGAUGUCGGAUUAGCUAGUUGGCGGGGUAAAGGCCCACCCAGGCGACGAUCCGUAGCUGGUCUGAGAGGAUGAGCAGCCACACUGGAACUGAGACACGGUCCAGACUCCUACGGGAGGCAGCAGUGGGGAAUAUUGGACAAUGGGCGCAAGCCUGAUCCAGCCAUACCGCGUGGGUGAAGAAGGCCUUCGGGUUGUAAAGCCCUUUUGUUGGGAAAGAAAAGCAGCAGGUUAAUACCCCGCUGUUCUGACGGUACCCAAAGAAUAAGCACCGGCUAACUUCGUG
rnacentral:rRNA from 1 species